rnacentral:tRNA from 1 species
AAGAAUAUAGUUAAUUAUAACAUUUGAUCUGCAAUCAAAAGGUAUUGAACUCCAAUUUUUCUUA